CGGAUUGUAGUCUGCAACUCGACUACAUGAAGCUGGAAUCGCUAGUAAUCGCGAAUCAGAAUGUCGCGGUGAAUACGUUCCCGGGUCUUGUACACACCGCCCGUCACACCAUGGGAGUCAGUAACGCCCGAAGCCGGUGACCUAACCGAAAGGGAGGAGCCGUCGAAGGUGAGACCGAUAACUGGGUGAAGUCGUAACAAGGUAAC
rnacentral:rRNA from 1 species